CACGUACUUUCUUCGUUUCGAAUUAUUUGUCGCGGGUAUAGAUGUAUCUAGAUGUAUUUUAGUUUUAGAUACAUCCGUUUUCUGUGACAAGUAAUUUGGAACGGAGCGAGUACGUA
rnacentral:pre_miRNA from 1 species